rnacentral:rRNA from 1 species
AUGCGUUCGUCCACCACACCCUCAAUGUUGGCCCGCGCUAGUCGCUGGCGCACCCACUGGAUUAUGUUGACGGGCACCGCAACCUGUAGGAUAGCCGGCUUUCCUGUAACUAGCUCCAGCAGUACGACACCAAAGCUAUACACGUCACUCUUUGCUGUUGGCUGCAUCGUCGCCUGGUACUCUGGAUUAACAUAUCCGGGUGUGCCAACAAAUGUGUUCAUGGAUACGUGGGUUUCAUUGUCAUUGCUGAAGGCCUUGGACAAGCCAAAGUCAGCAAUCCUAGCCUCCAUCUUUGCGUUCAAUAGGAUGUUGGUUGCCUUCACGUCUCUGUGGAUGAGGGACGGGUAG